rnacentral:rRNA from 1 species
GACGAACUCUGGCGGCGCGCCUAACACAUGCAAGUCGAACGAGCGAGAGAGAGCUUGCUUUCUCGAGCGAGUGGCGAACGGGUGAGUAACGCGUGAGGAACCUGCCUCAAAGAGGGGGACAACAGUUGGAAACGACUGCUAAUACCGCAUAAGCCCACGGGUCGGCAUCGACCAGAGGGAAAAGGAGCAAUCCGCUUUGAGAUGGCCUCGCGUCCGAUUAGCUAGUUGGUGAGGUAAUGGCCCACCAAGGCAACGAUCGGUAGCCGGACUGAGAGGUUGAACGGCCACAUUGGGACUGAGACACGGCCCAGACUCCUACGGGAGGCAGCAGUGGGGAAUAUUGCACAAUGGGGGAAACCCUGAUGCAGCGACGCCGCGUGGAGGAAGAAGGUCUUCGGAUUGUAAACUCCUGUUGUUGGGGAAGAUAAUGGCGGUACCCAACAAGGAAGUGACGGCUAACUACGUGCCAGCAGCCGCGGUAAAACGUAGGUCACAAGCGUUGUCCGGAAUUACUGGGUGUAAAGGGAGCGCAGGCGGGAAGACAAGUUGGAAGUGAAAUCUAUGGGCUCAACCCAUAAACUGCUUUCAAAACUGUUUUUCUUGAGUAGUGCAGAGGUAGGCGGAAUUCCCGGUGUAGCGGUGGAAUGCGUAGAUAUCGGGAGGAACACCAGUGGCGAAGGCGGCCUACUGGGCACCAACUGACGCUGAGGCUCGAAAGUGUGGGUAGCAAACAGGAUUAGAUACCCUGGUAGUCCACACCGUAAACGAUGAUUACUAGGUGUUGGAGGAUUGACCCCUUCAGUGCCGCAGUUAACACAAUAAGUAAUCCACCUGGGGAGUACGACCGCAAGGUUGAAACUCAAAGGAAUUGACGGGGGCCCGCACAAGCAGUGGAGUAUGUGGUUUAAUUCGACGCAACGCGAAGAACCUUACCAAGUCUUGACAUCCCUUGACAGACAUAGAAAUAUGUAAUCUCUUCGGAGCAAGGAGACAGGUGGUGCAUGGUUGUCGUCAGCUCGUGUCGUGAGAUGUUGGGUUAAGUCCCGCAACGAGCGCAACCCUUAUGGUCAGUUACUACGCAAGAGGACUCUGGCCAGACUGCCGUUGACAAAACGGAGGAAGGUGGGGAUGACGUCAAAUCAUCAUGCCCUUUAUGACUUGGGCUACACACGUACUACAAUGGCGUUAAACAAAGAGAAGCAAGACCGCGAGGUGGAGCAAAACUCAGAAACAACGUCCCAGUUCGGACUGCAGGCUGCAACUCGCCUGCACGAAGUCGGAAUUGCUAGUAAUCGUGGAUCAGCAUGCCACGGUGAAUACGUUCCCGGGCCUUGCAC